rnacentral:rRNA from 1 species
UACGGAGGGGGCUAGCGUUGUUCGGAAUUACUGGGCGUAAAGCGCACGUAGGCGGCUUUGUAAGUUAGAGGUGAAAGCCCGGGGCUCAACUCCGGAAUUGCCUUUAAGACUGCAUCGCUAGAAUUGUGGAGAGGUAAGUGGAAUUCCGAGUGUAGAGGUGAAAUUCGUAGAAUAUUGGGAAGGAACACCAGUGGCGAAGGCGGCUAUCUGGACCGUAACU